CGCCCUCCUAGAACGCUUGUUUCCCAGGAAGGGGAGGAGUUCUUCCUGGCGCGGAUGCCACCGUCGCCACGGCAACGCCGCUUUACUGGGCCCAACGGAUUAAGGGGCCUGGGGCUGCAGGCGGCCGCGUGGCCUCGUGGGCAGCGCUAGCAGCAUGGACAGUCUGUACGUGGAGGAGGUGGCCGCCUCCCUGGUCAGGGAGUUUCUUAGCAGAAAGGGUUUGAACAAGACAUUUGUGACCAUGGACCAGGAGCGCCCCCGCUGUGAGCUUAGCAUCAACAGCAGAAAUGAUCUCCGCAAAGUUCUGCAUCUGGAGUUUCUCUACAAGGAGAACAAGGCAAAAGAAAAGCCUCUAAGAACAAACCUGGAGCUCAUUACCAGGUACUUUCUGGAUAAUGUUGGAAAUACAGAUAACAGUGAAAGUCAAGAAGUCCCAAUCCCUGCAAUCCCUGUUCCAAAGAAAAACAACAAGUUGCCUUUGAGACACUCAGAGACCACAUUGGUGAAUAUAUACGACCUUUCAGAUGAAGAUACGGGAAGACGGACAUCAUGGUCAGAAGCAGGCAAAGCCAGGCAUGACAGUCUGGAUGGGGACAUACUUGGUAAUUUCGUAUCAUCCAAAAAACCCUCACACAAAAGUAAGGCUGCACACGUGGACCUGGGUGACAGCCUCCCGUUGGUUCCUGCGUGGGAGAAGGUGGACCAGCUUCACUCAUCAGAGCCCGGUAUAGAUGUGAAGAAGACAAUGGAGAGGACCAGGCCUAAGUCUGGCCUGAUUGUCCGAGGCAUGAUGGCUGGGCCUGUCGCCAGCUCCCCUCAGGACUCUUUCCGCAAACGCUCUCUGAGAAGGUCCUCAGCUCUGAGCAGGAAGCUCCAAACCCCAGAGGAGAUCCAGCAGCAGUCUGAGCCUUUUGUCCACACCCCAGCCUAUCUGGGUCCACAGGAGGUCCCCGAUUCCAGCAGUGACUCCGUCUCCAGAAGCCCUCUGGGCCAGCUGAAUGAACUGUCUAUAGAGAAGCCAAAUGUCACUUCUAGCAGCCAAGGGCUGUCCCAGAGGGACAGACCCAGGCUAAGAAGUGUUUCAGAGGACAGCCCACUGGGGUACAGCCACACAGAGGGGAAUUCCAGGAUGGCCCAGGACCAGCUGGAAAGAGCGUUCAAGCGUCAGGGCGUCCAGCCUCCAUCUCUCAGGAAAAAUCAGUUGGUGUCUGACAGGACGGAUGAUAAGCCAGAUGCCCUGCAGCUAGAGGAUGUUGAGGAUGAGUUGAUAAAGGAAGACAUUGUCUUGUUUCCACCUCCAUCAAUGCUCAAGCUUCAGACUGUGUCAAAGCCAAUUGACCUCUCACUGGCUAAGGAGAUAAAGACCCUUCUGUUUGGCUCUACCUUUUGCUGCUUCAGUGAAGAAUGGAAACUUCAGAACUUUUCCUUCAAUGACAUUGCCUCGUUAAAAUACGGCAUUGUGCAGAACAAGGGUGGUCCCUGUGGGGUUCUGGCAGCUGUUCAAGGCUGUGUGCUUCAGAAACUCCUGUUUGAAGGAGAUAACAGAACCAACUCUAAUCUCCGGCUGCAGCCCUCAGAUGCCCAGAGGACUCGCUGCCUUGCCCUGGCCAUUGCCGACAUCCUGUGGCGAGCUGGAGGCAAAGAACAAGCCGUGGUUGCACUGGCUUCAGGAACACCGCACUUCAGUCCAACAGGGAAAUACAAAGCAGAUGGAGUCUUAGAAACAGUACGGCUUUCUGGAAAACUAUCGUGCCACCUUUGGCUUUGUUUGGGGACUAUCUCCUUUCAUAUAACUCACACUGUAUAGUUUGACCAGCUCAGAGGACCUGGUGACUUUUAUCCAGCAGAGUGUUCAUCAGUUUGAAGCUGGACCCUAUGGUUGCAUCCUGCUCACCUUGUCUGCUAUCCUGUCCAGGUCCCUGGAGCUUGUCCGGCAGGACUUUGAUGUCCCCACCAGCCAUCUCAUUGGAGCUCAUGGAUACUGCACACAGGAACUUGUCAAUCUUCUCCUGACUGGGAGAGCCGUGUCUAAUGUUUUCAAUGAUGUAGUGGAGCUGGACUCAGGUGAUGGGAACAUCACGCUCCUCCGAGGCAUCGAGGCACGCAGUGACAUCGGCUUCUUAUCUCUCUUUGAACACUACAAUGUGUGCCAGGUUGGCUGCUUCCUAAAGACGCCAAGGUUCCCCAUCUGGGUGGUCUGCAGUGAGAGCCACUUCAGCAUCCUCUUCAGCCUACAGCCAGAGCUCUUGUGCGACUGGAGGUCUGAGCGGCUUUUUGACCUGUAUUACUAUGACGGCUUGGCCAACCAGCAGGAGGAGAUACGUCUGACUGUUGAUACCACCAAGACCGCCCCAGCGGACAGCUGCAGUGACCUUGUCCCUCCUCUUGAGCUCUGUAUCAGAACCAAGUGGAAGGGGGCAUCUGUAAACUGGAACGGCUCAGACCCCAUCCUGUGACCCUUGGAUACAUGGAGUUCUAUGGCUUCAGCACUCAUCACUGGGAUGACCCCGGGACCCCAGGUCUUAGGGUCAAGUCUCUUAGAGGAGUCACCCUGCCUGAGUUUGCAUGUCCACAGAGGCAUGCUCAGUCUUCCAGUUCCUUCCAUGAAGGGCCAUGGCAGGGUCCUGUUGAGAUUCCCUCCUGGCCUAGAUGUGCCUGCCAAAGACAGGAAGGAGGGAGGCCACCAGAGACUCUACUGCCUUUCGUUUGCAUCCUUCCUGAAUAACCCUCUCUCCAAGGCCUCUGGUGUCACUGGCUUUGGGGACCCUGGAGUCUUGUUACUGCAGCUUCCAUAAAGCAAAAGUCAAGCCUAUGACCAGGGCAAAUUUGGACUGUGGUUGGUUCAUUGGUGUGAGUGGAACCCGGGUCUGCUAUCAUCAUGGCUAAGAUGGGACAGGGAGGUGGAGGUCCAGGAUUCCGGUGUGCUGAGUAUCUCCUAGCCAAGAGGUGAGGCCAAGCCCAGCCCUUUGUCCCAGAGAUGCCCUUGUCUGGGUGGAGCAGCGUGGUCUAAGAUACAAGCUACCAAGAGCAGCCAAAGGUCUGGAGAGCCCACUUCAGGGAAGACCUGGUUUUCUUGUGAGGCCAUAUGAGGCUGGGGUGGGCCUAGAAGGAGGCUGGGAUGGGCAGGGCUAGAAAGGUACCCAGGAAAUGACUUCUUGCCCAGGUGAGCAAAAAAGAUGGGGACAAGCAGAGGGAUCCAGUGUCAACUUCCCUGUGGCUGUGGGGAGAACUGACUGCCAUCAUGGGUGGGCAGGACUUUGGAAGUGCUCACAUUGCAGAAUAAGGAGAGAUUAGAGGGGGAUGGUAUGCUCUGAGUUUCACUUACCACAUGGCGUAUAUCCACUGGCUUUCGUCAUGGAAAGUGAUAAAGCAGGAGUGGGUCACUAGGGAAGAACUCCUGGAGGUACUGGAUGGUUCAGAGCCAGAGUCUAGGGCUGCUUGUAGCAGUUCACACCAGGAACCUCAGACUGAAGCUCCAGACCUCAGAGUCCCUGUCAUAUGGCUGUCCAGGAAGAAAUGAGGACCCAAAUAACGGUAAAGCUUUCAGGUGCCUCCACCCUAGCCCGGCAGCCCAUCUUUGGCCUCCAUGUGUCCCCAUAGGGUUUAGGAGCAUAGCUGCUCUAGACUGUGUCCCCUGUAAUUAGAAGUCCCCUUGCUGUAAGGAGAAACCCCUCCGUUAAGGAGUUAGGCGUUUGGUGGGGACAACUACGGAGCUUGUCUUAUGUUCCCGUGGGUAGGGCACACACUGUGUCCCAACUGCAGACCUUCGGAGAGGCAGGGAGGAGUCAAUUAUGCCAUAGAAGCAGAGGGCGGGAAGGGCUGUGUCCUGCACUAGGCUCCCACGGGGCUUGCUGUGUAAACUUUAGUGGCCAUUCACAGCAGGUUCCCAGUAGAAAUGCUUCCUAUAUCUCCUUGAAAUGUUUAUGCAUUUGUUUUCCUUGGCCGCAGAUGGGCAGCUGCAGAGUGCCUGGCUGAGGAAGCUGGUUUCCCUGCAAUGGCCUUGUUUAUCGGGCCUGGGGAGGAAAAGUAUCUCUUCAAUGAAACCCACUUAGUCUCCUUGCCAGGGGCUCUUUGGCAGGGCUAGAGGAAAACAAACAAUUCCCAGCAUUACUGCAGAAGGUUGACCCAACAAAGCACAGAGCUUGCUCUUCUAAGAGGCCAGAUUGCAGACACACAAGCACUAUGCCUCGGAGUGGAAGGUGGGCAGAGCUGGGUACAACCACUCCCAGGCUUGAAGCCUUAGCAUUCUCAGUAACACUCCCAGGACCAAAACACCUCAUCACAAGUGUCAUUGUUCUCUAGGGUGCCGAGGUAGAGGACUGCCUCACAGCCCUCUCCCGGACUGUAUUAAAACCAUUCGUGCUCACA